UACGUAGGGGGCUAGCGUUGUCCGGAAUCAUUGGGCGUAAAGCGCGCGUAGGCGGCCCGGUAAGUCCGCUGUGAAAGUCAAAGGCUCAACCUUUGAAUGUCAGCGGAUACUGCCGGGCUAGAGUCCGGAAGAGGCGAGUGGAAUUCCUGGUGUAGCGGUGGAAUGCGCAGAUAUCAGGAGGAACACCAACGGCGAAGGCAGCUCGCUGGGUCGGUACUGACGCUGAGACGCGAAAGCGUGGGGAGCGAACAGG
rnacentral:rRNA from 1 species